UACUCUGCGGCUCGGCCGCCGCGCCUGAGUUCGGCGAAAGCCUUUCCAGGGCAAGUCUGUCCGUGACCCUCUCGGAGAGUCGCAGUUUCUAAAUCUCUCGAAGUAACGCGGCUUUAGCCAGGAGGUCCCAAGCGUUAGGAUUAAAAAUAAAGAUAAAAGGGGAAUGGGGGGCUGGGGGAGGUGGACCUUGUGUUUGCACCUAGGUGAAACCUUCCUCUGCAGGCGGCGGUGUUUGCUUAGGGUCUCCCGCACCACCUGGAUUGCCCGGAGAGCGAUGUAUGAGCUUGCAAAUUUACACACAGACACACACACACAGUAGUGGGGAUCGAACUUGGGUCCUUGUGCUUGAGCAGCAGCAGCAGCACCAGAAAAAAGAAGAAGAAGAGGAGGAGGAGGAGGAGGAGCAAGAAGAAGAAGGAGGAGAAGAAGAAGAAGAGGAAGAAGAAAGAAGAGGAGGAGGAAGCAGAAGAAGCAACUUUUCAAUUGUGGGCAGAAAUCCCAAGACCAAACUGGUUGUUUCUUCUAGAAAGAUGACUCUUUAAGUUAUUAUCAUUCUCCUUCCAGGGUGCUGUUCAGGGACAGGCCUGGCAAAAUAAAACUGCUACUGGAGAGAUUGUGCCUCUGUUUACUAGGGGUCAUUUUGGUUUGGUGGGGGUUUUUUGGCACUGGAGAUGGGACUUGGGACCCUGUGCUCGCGAGGCAGGCAGCGGAACCACUGAGCUAAAUCCCUGGCCCUGGUUGUUUUGUUUUUGAAACAGAGUCUGGCUGAGUUAUCCAGGCUAGCUUGGAGCUCUCUACACUC
rnacentral:lncRNA from 1 species